rnacentral:tRNA from 1 species
AUCGACGACAUCAGCUGCUCCAUAAGUUCCCACACGAAUUGCUUGAUUCAUUGAAGAAGACGAAAAGAAGCAGCCCGAAAUUGGGUCUGUAGCUCAGUUGGUUAGAGCGCACCCCUGAUAAGGGUGAGGUCGGCAGUUCGAAUCUGCCCAGACCCACCAAUUUUGUGUGGGAAACGCCUGUAGAAAUACGGGGCCAUAGCUCAGCUGGGAGAGCGCCUGCCUUGCACGCAGGAGGUCAACGGUUCGAUCCCGUUUGGCUCCACCACUACUGCUUCUGUUUGUAUAAAGCUUAGAAAUGAGCAUUCCAUCGUUGUGAUGGUGAAUGUUGAUUUCUAGUCUUUGACUAGUUCGUUCUUUAAAAAUUUGGGUAUGUGAUAGAAAGAUAGACUGAACGUUACUUUCACUGGUAACGGAUCAGGCUAAGGUAAAAUUUGUGAGUUACUCAGUUUUGAGUAUUAUCGAAUUUUCGGCGAAUGUCGUCUUCACAGUAUAACCAGAUUGCUUGGGGUUAUAU